UACAGAGGGGGCAAGCGUUGCUCGGAAUCACUGGGCGUAAAGCGCACGUAGGCGGGUUGCUAAGUCAGGGGUGAAAUCCUGGAGCUCAACUCCAGAACUGCCUUUGAUACUGGCGGCCUUGAGUCCGGGAGAGGUGAGUGGAACUGCGAGUGUAGAGGUGAAAUUCGUAGAUAUUCGCAAGAACACCAGUGGCGAAGGCGGCUCACUGGCCCGGUACUGACGCUGAGGUGCGAAAGCGUGGGGAGCAAACAGG
rnacentral:rRNA from 1 species